UCUCAUUCUAAUUGACUCACAAAGAAUAAAAUCGUAACAGCCAGUUUAAGGAGGCCACACAAACAUUUGCCCAGCCCCAAAUUCUACACCAUCUUAAUGAAAUUCUACACAGUUAGAACACCCUCUUCCAUUUCAAUUCUGAAGCAAGGAAGCUAUAGAUGACAUACGAGAGGUUUAACUGGCCUAUCUGUUUGCAAGUCUGCACUGUUUGAGAACCUCUUGAAAGCCCCACAGAGCUUGUUGGUGUCACCCUGGUUCUGGGCACACUCCAAAAACUGUUUGAUCUCAUGGAAACAAGGCUGCUGCUGCUGUGCUGGCCAGGUUCCCUGAUGCUGCUGAUGGAGUCUCACUUUGUCACCAAGCUGGAGUGUGGUGGCAUGAUCUUGGCUCACUGCAACCUCCCAGGUUCAAGCUAUUCUCCUGCCUCAGCCUCCCGAGUAGCUGGGACUACAGGCGCACGCCACCACACCCAGCUAAUUUUUGUAUUUUUAGUAGAGACAGGGUUUCACCAUGUUCGCCAGGGUGGUCUCUAUUUCUUGACCUCGUGAUUUGCCCACCUUGGCCUUCCAAAGUGCUGGGAUUACAGGCAUGAGUCACUGUGCCCGGCCUAAUUUUGAUUUUUUAAAACAUUUAAUUAAAAUGUUAUUUAAUUACUGAGUUUUUGGUAUCCCUGUCAUUUUUGUGCCCUGGGAAAGAAAGUACCUCCCCACCUUACCCAGCCCUGGCCCUGCUGGAGAGGCAGUAGGGGUUAGGAAGGCGCUGUGGGACGUGGGAUUAGGUAAGCAUGGCAUUUUUCUGAGUGUUAUAUGAGGUGUUUUGAAGAGAAAGUCUUAAAGGCACCAAGGUGGGUGUACUAGUCUGCUCAAGCUGCCAUCACAAAAUCCCUAAGGCUGGAUGGCCCAAACAAUGAACACUUAUUUUCUCAUAGCUCUGGAGGCUGGAAAUCCAAGGUCAAGGUGCCUGCAGGGUAGGUUUCUGGUGAGGCCUCUCUCCCUGGCUCGCAGAUGUCCACCUUCUCACUGGAUGCUCACAUGAACUCUUUUUUUGUGUUCACUUGGAGAGAGAGUCAUGGUGCCAGUUCUUUUUCUUUUCUGAGACAGAGCCUCACUCUGUCACCUAGGCUGGAGUGCAGUGGUGUGAUCAUGGCUCACUGCAGCCUCAAACUCCUGAGCUCAAGCAAUUCUCCUACCUCAGCCUCCCAAGUAGCCAGGAUCACAGGUGUGUGCCACCAUGGCUGGCUAAUUUUUUUUUUUAUGUUAUAGAAAGAGGGUCUCACUGUGUUGCCCAGGCUUCCUUUGCUUAUAAGAACAUCAGUUCUAUUGCUUUGGGCACCCCCUUAUGACCUCAUUGAACCUUAACUACCUUCCUAAAAGCCUGACCUCUGAAUGCGGUCACAUUGGGAGUUAUGGUUUCAACAUACAAUUAUUUUGUAUUGGAGGCACAAUUCAGUCCAUACCAGUGGGUACCCAGCCCCCAUUCAGAUCAUGUUGCCUGGGGUAGGAGCUCGGUGCUGAGAGACGAACAGGUCAGGUUUGGAUUUGGGCUCUUCUAAUUAGCUGUGUGAUCUUGAGCUAAUCACUUAACUUCUCUGAACCUCAGCUUCUCCACCUCUACAAUCAGUCCAUAUUUCUUAUCUCACAGGGAGAUGGAGGGACUAAUCUGAGAUGCAUAUAAAAACCUUGAAGACAAUUCUCAGUAAACUUUAGGUUUCCUCCCUUUAGCAAACUAAUUGGAAUUCAGGAAGCAGCAACUGGCACUGUAGUUAGAAUGCGGUUCUGUUCAUUGACUUCGGGCAGCUGCAGGGCUCGAGGGUGACAUUACACAGAGUCUGUCUAUGAUUUUUCUAAGUUUCAGUGGCUGCACACCCUUAUCCCACAUAAGAUUAGAUUUUCACGCAGACAUUGGGCAAGAGUCCCAGGCCUCACAGAUAUUCUUGGGUCAACCAGGAACUCUCCAUUGCUGUCGAGUACGAGGGAAAGUGCCGAGUCAUGGAUUUGUUUCCUUCAGAUUUUGUGUGGUUCUUAUCAUGUUCUUCAGGAAACAUUAGCACACCCAGCUAUUAAUAAUGAUGAUGGAAUGAAAUUUCUGACUAAAUCCGGGGUGGAGGUGAGGGUCACCUGCCUGCCUGGCUAACCUAUACUUCUAUCUAUCCAGGAAGGAAGGGAGCUAUCUGGAGGCAGGCUAAGGAGAUAGGAAUGUCCAACAUGCUGGGAAUCCCUCGACUUCACGCAACAGGGUAACCCAAGCCUCCCGAAGGUCAGGCUUGGGCGGGAGGGGUCAGUGUUGUCAUUGGCACAUUUUCCCAACCAAGUCCAAAAUCCCUUAGUAGGCAAAGAGUUGAGAUAGGGAAACAGUACCUGGGGCCGCACUGAGAGUGAGAUGAUGGUCCUCAUCCCCGCGCAGAUGGGAAUCUUUGUUUAGAUUAACAGAGGACUGUACAUACACCCUCAAAACAGAUUAGAUAUUUUCCCUGGGAACUUGCUGUAAUUCUUACUCCCCUUGCCCCUCUUUUCCAUGAAAGCAUGAGGUUACACUGAUGAACGCUCCUCCCUUCCUGCACUCCUUCUUGGGCCCUUGCCGCUGCUAUGUCCCUUCAAUUGCCCUAACAGUGUUGAUGAGCAGAAAUAGUGUCAGAUCAUGAUGUCAGCAAUAAUGUCAGAUUUCUGUUGGGUGCCUAGGACCUUCCAAGAUUUAUGGCUACCAGUAAAUCACAAGAGAGACUUUCCUCCCAGAAGGUGAAGGACAGCUAUGGUCAUGCCUCUCACUGAGUAGUCUCUUUUAGACAAUUGCCGGCAUUACUGGGUGCAGAAGCUCAUUUGUUUCCCCACAACCUGCGUGGAAAACUUCACUCAAGUGCUGGAAUAUAUGCUAUGCUCCCAUUGCCCAUCAAAUCCA
rnacentral:lncRNA from 10 species